CGGAGGGUGCAAGCGUUAUCCGGAUUCACUGGGUUUAAAGGGUGCGUAGGAGGGCAGGUAAGUCAGUGGUGAAAUCUCCAAGCUUAACUUGGAAACUGCCGUUGAUACUAUCUGUCUUGAAUAUUGUGGAGGUGAGCGGAAUAUGUCAUGUAGCGGUGAAAUGCUUAGAUAUGACAUAGAACACCAAUUGCGAAGGCAGCUCGCUACUCAAUUAUUGACUCUGAGGCACGAAAGCGUGGGGAUCAAACAGGAUUAGAUACCCUGGUAGUCCACGCCCUAAACUAUGGAUACUCGACAUACGCGAUAUACAGUGUGUGUCUGAGCGAAAGCAUUAAGUAUCCUACCUGGGAAGUACGACCGCAAGGUUG
rnacentral:rRNA from 1 species